GAUGAACGCUAGCGGCAGGCCUAAUACAUGCAAGUCGAACGGUGUCUUCGGACAUAGUGGCGCACGGGUGCGUAACACGUAUGCAACCUACCUUACAUUGGGGGAUAGCCUUUCGAAAGGGAGAUUAAUACCGCAUAAGACAGUAGCUGGGCAUCCAGCAGCUGUUAAAGAUUUAUCGAUGUAAGCUGGGCAUGCGUCCAAUUAGCUAGUUGGUGAGGUAACGGCUCACCAAGGCAAUGAUUGGUAGGGGAACUGAGAGGUCAAUCCCCCACACUGGCACUGAGAUACGGGCCAGACUCCUACGAGAGGCAGCAGUAGGGAAUAUUGGGCAAUGUACGCAAGUCUGACCCAGCCAUGCCGCGUGCAGGAUGAAGGCGUUAUGCGUUGUAAACUGCUUUUAUACAGGAAGAAACGACUCUUGCGAGAGGCAUUGACGGUACUGUAUGAAUAAGCACCGGCUAACUCCGUGCCAGCCGCCGCAGUAAGAC
rnacentral:rRNA from 1 species